rnacentral:rRNA from 1 species
AGUGAACGCUGGCGGUAGGCCUAACACAUGCAAGUCGAACGGCAGCACAGGAGAGCUUGCUCUCUGGGUGGCGAGUGGCGGACGGGUGAGGAAUACAUCGGAAUCUACUCUGUCGUGGGGGAUAACGUAGGGAAACUUACGCUAAUACCGCAUACGACCUACGGGUGAAAGCAGGGGACCUUCGGGCCUUGCGCGAUUGAAUGAGCCGAUGUCGGAUUAGCUAGUUGGCGGGGUAAAGGCCCACCAAGGCGACGAUCCGUAGCUGGUCUGAGAGGAUGAUCAGCCACACUGGAACUGAGACACGGUCCAGACUCCUACGUGAGGCAGCAGUGGGGAAUAUUGGACAAUGGGCGCAAGCCUGAGCCAGCCAUAACGCGUGGGUGAAGAAGGCCUUCGGGUUGUAAAGCCCUUUUGUUGGGAAAGAAAUCCAGCUGGCUAAUACCCGGUUGGGAUGACGGUACCCAAAGAAUAAGCACCGGCUAACUUCGUGCCAGCCGCCGCCGUAA